UUUAUGAGAAUUAUGCAGAGAUAGGUAACAGAUGGAGAAGAAAUUUGAGCUUUGGAGGGGGAUACCUGAUAUCCUUUGGAGAAUAAAUGCUGAAGAAGCAGAAGUGUGUCUUGUUGAGAAGAUUCAAAGGAGGGGCUACAAAGAAGAAGGUCAUCAAUAUAUUGAAUAAGGUUUUGACAUAAUUUGGUGUCAGAAGUAGAAUUGAAGCUGGUUAGUUGGACAGAUGGACAACCCCUGAAAUUGAGUGAAUUGCCUGUGCUGAGCCCUUUUGAGCUCUCCACCUCCGUGGCUGACCUUUUCUACCCUGCUGAAUCUCCUCUCAGAUUCCUGGACUCCUUUUUGGUUCCUCCAAUCAACUUUUUUUCCAUGGAAUUGCUAAAAAUGGGAGCCUCUCUGUUUCUGCAGCCCUAUAAACUGAAAUUAAAUUUUAAGGGACAAGUUGCCUUUCUGAUGGUUGGGCUACAUGGCAAGUUCUCCAGACCACCUGAUGCCAUAACCAAAGACAUUCCAGCAGCAAUCCAGGACAUAAUGUUGCUGGCUUCAUGCUAUGGACAGCUUUUCCCAAGGUGACAAAACAAGAGCCCUCAUCGUAGUGAGACUCUAGCUCCUCUUAGUUUUUUCUCAUUUAUGCCUAUCUCUUUCACUUGGCAGGAUAAUCAUGUAAUUAAAGUUUCACAGAUACUACUGGGGGUACCUUGACAGAAUCUGACCUAAAAAUAUUUAGUCCACCUAAUGAGUAACUUUAACUAUCCUCAAUACAUCUAUUGCUCAUUCUGCUUUAAUUCAACUCAGUCAGGAGAUACUAGAUGAUAGAAAUACUCUGUAGUAUCUAUUGGUUAAAUAAGAAAAUGUCUGUGCUAUUGCUAAUAUUACAUGCUGUACCUGGAUAAAUUUCUCUGGGAACAUUGAGACUCAAAUACGCAAAAUAAUAAAACAGGCCACAUCAUUACAACAGGUCUCAUCUAACUCACCAUAGUCAUUUGAUUUACUCAAUUGGUUGCCUUUAAGCCUAGACUCGUGGCUCAUAAUUGUUAUAUAAACUGAGAUUAUCAUAUUACUAUUAUUUUUACUUUGUAUUUUCUUUUCUUUUCCUUUUUUUUUUUAACUUUGUACCCGUUGCUUGUCAAAUUUCUACAAUACAAAUCCUAACAAAAGAAUGCUAGCCCAGCACUUUGAGAUGAUAAUCAAUGUUUAUGGAACAGACAAAAUUCAACUUAACAAUGGACUGCAGUCCCAGCUUUAUCAGUUAUGUGUGGUCUUGGACAAGUUAUUUUACUUCUCUGAACUCAGUUUUCUCAUUCAUAAAGUGGAAAUAAUAAUCUCUAUCUUAUGGGAUUGUUGAAAGGACUAGAAUGAAUAUAUGCAAAGCUCUUGGUAGAAAUUGAGAACUCAAUGAAGACAGAAGAGAUGUAAGUCAAUAUGAUGAGUAAGUCAAAUGAUGCUGGAGUUGGGUCUUGGAAGGAAAACAACAUUCAAAUAGGUAGAGGUAGAAAGAAAAGAGAUUCCAACCAGAAUGAGUGUGAACAAAGAGGAAGCCACAGUACAGUGGGAUGUGUGCAAUUACUGAAAACUUUGCAUAGAUUUGGCUAGAGUAGUAGAGUUCUCCUUCAAUAGGAGCAGUGGCAGAAAAAGGACUGGAGGGAAGGAUGGACUCAGACACAGAGGGCAACAAGAUAAGGGCAAAGGGUGUGUGUCUCCUUGGAGGCCACCAUGUGCUGCCCUGCUAUUGUCUGGGGACUGGGUGAAAGUCAAUAUUGCCCUGCUCAGGACCAAGAGACAUUGCUACCAUUGGCACUGCUUGGAUGUUCCUGAUGCUCCCAGAACCUCUGUCACUUAGGAAAUUACAAGGGUUUAGAUACUUUGUACCAGAAAUGAGGUAAAAGCCAAAUAUAUAUUUAUUUCUCCUUAUAUAUAUAUAGAGAGAGAGAGAUGGGGUCUUGCUUGUUGCUCAGGGUGGUCUUGAACUACUCCUGGCCUCAAGCAAUCCUCCUCUUGGCCUCCCAAAGUGCAGAGA